GAUUAUACUUGAUGCAAAAUUUUUAUUUAGAUUGUAGUUAGGACUUGAGUGCCAUAAUUUCCUUUUUUCAAUAGCCCUUAAAAUUGAUAUAUUUUGAAGACUUGACACAAAUAGAGACUAUCAUGUCAAGGAUGAAAGAUUGCCUUCUGCAGAAAGCCUUCAAACAAACCACAAUGUCCAUGCACAUUGAAAACUAUGAAGGGAGCAAGUCAAAAGUAGUUGUAGAUUUGAAGCUCUUCAAUCCGGUUGAGAAGUAACGUCCCAAAGUGAAGAGCCCCAUGUUGGAAUAGAAGACAGAAUCUCGCAAUAAGCUACUGGUGUGCGAUUGUUUGUAUUUCAACCUUCAUUGCGCUUCUGUAAUAUAUAGACACUGAAGAGUUGCUUCUGGAUACACUUCCCAGAAGCUUUGAAUCCUUUCAUCGUUAAACGGAAUAGUUGCAUCGCUUAAUGUAAAUAUAA